rnacentral:tRNA from 1 species
UGGGGCGUAGUUCAGUGGCAGAGUGCUUGCCUCACAUGCAUGAAGCCCUGGGUUUGAUCCCCAGCAGUACAA